rnacentral:lncRNA from 10 species
CCGGACUCCUUCAGCGCGCUGCCUGCCUGCCCAGGGCCUUCCCGGAGAGCAGGUGACGGCGGCCUCCGGGCAUGGAGCUCGCGCUGACGAAAGGUUCUGGAAGCCGCCGUAAAAAGUAAUCAAGAAACGGGUGACAGGACUUUUCGAACAAGGUCUCACCAUGCUGCCCAAGCUGGUCUGAAAACUCUUGUCCUCAGGCAGUCCUCCCACCUCGGCCUCCCAAAGAUCUGAGAUUACAGGCAUGAGCCACCACACCUGGCCUUGGUUUUAAUUCCUGUCACAGUAUAUUAGUUUUCGCUGUUGUGUAUUGAUUGAUUGAGACAGGGUCUCGCUCUGUUGCCCAGGCUGGAGUGCAGGGGCAUGAUCCCAGCUCACUGCAACCUCCACCUCUUGGAUUCAAGUGAUUCUCCCGUCUCAGCCUCCCGAGUAACAGGAACCACAGGUGUGUGCCAGCACGCCUGGCUAAUUUUUUUUUUUUUUUUCUUGAGGUGGAGUUUCACUGUUGUUGCCCAGGUUGGAGUGCAGUGGCACAAUCUCAGCUCACUGCAACCUCUGCCUCCUGGGUUCAAGUGAUUCUCCUGCUUCAGCCUCACGAGUUGUUGGGAUUACAGGCGCCCGCCACCACGCCCAGGUAAUUUUUGUUUAGUAGAGACGGGGUUUCACCAUGUUGGCCUGGCUGGUCUCGAACUCCUGACCUCAGGUGAUCCACCCACCUCGGCCUCCCAAAGUUGUGGGAUUGCAGGCGUGAGCCACUGCGCCUGGCCUAAUUUUUCAAUUUUUUGGUGGAGAUAGGGUUUCACCAUGUUGGCCAGGCUGGAGUUUUGCCUGUUCUAGAAGCUUGUAUCAGUCAUACAACACGUCUUGAGUACAAAAUGGAUUCAGAGACCUGAGUUGUCAUGUUCAAUCUGAUUUUCCUAGCCCUUUGAGGAACCGUUUGAGGUGUGGCACGAUACAGCAAGUCAGCUGCCAAAGAGGGGCUUAGCCACAGGAAGUGCGUGCCCAGAACGAGCAUCUCCCGUGUCCCUCACAGCAGUUCUAUGAGGCUGGCUGCCCUGUUUGACAACUGAGGCCCGCAUCUUCCCCGGAAUCACCGACGUGUGGCUCUGAGCCCUGUCCCAGGGAUUUUCUCCAUCAGAGAAGAGGAGCACUUUGAGCUUUGAGAGGAGCAGCCCUCUGCAAGUGAAGUGGAAAAAAAGGAAGCAGGCGAGGAGGCCCAUCCAGACCCUCCCCCAAGACCCUUGCUGAAAUGGCUGGGAUGCGGCGUGCAGAAGCUCUCCUUUCCUUCACAGCCCCUGGCUUUCCAAGAGUCCCUGCCCACCCAGAUGCCCGCUGGCAGAUGCAGCCUCAUCUCAAGGACACUGCUUGCUGGAUAAAUCCCUCACCACCCUAGAGACAGCCCACGGUCCUGAGACAAGGAUGCGGGCCAGGCUUGUUGCACGUAAGCGCCUCCCGCAGAAACCAGUGAGGCCGGAGUUCCAGAGGAAAUGAUGUAGGGACAGAGGCAGAGGGCCUCCAGGAGGCACCAGCCCCAGAGUCUUCCCUAGAAUCAGACUUUAAGCACAAGCAGGGAGGGAAAGCACUUGAGCAGUGCCCGUCCCUGCAUACCUGGCCUCUGCUGGAACCCAUGCAGGGACAGGACACUUCUUUAUCAGCAAUCCUGUUCCUCUCCUGGGCAGCUUCAACCUGAACAUCCUCCUUCACCUUGAGCUAAAAUGGGUUUCUUGUCACCCUUGCCCAUCAAACCUGGCCUUGCCCUCAGGAACCACACAGGACAAGCCUAAUACUUCCUUCUUGUGGCAACACUUUAGCAAUUGAGACCUGGCUGUCAGGUCCUCCAAAUAAAC